rnacentral:sRNA from 1 species
AUAUGAUCCGCUCGGCUUCCUGGGUCUGGCUGCUGCCGCCCGCCGGUGUCCGCCCGUGUCGCGCCGGGGCACCAAGGAGCCGUUGGAGGGUCCGGGCGGAGGCCCGCUCGUGUGGAAGUCGUCGACGCCGCCGCUCGUCCGUCCUCCCGUCCGUUCUCGCUCCCGGCCGCCAUCAUGCUGGCGCUCAUCUCCCGCCUGCUGGACUGGUUCCGUUCGCUCUUCUGGAAGGAAGAGAUGGAGCUGACGCUCGUGGGGCUGCAGUACUCGGGCAAGACCACCUUCGUCAAUGUCAUCGCGUCAGGUCAAUUCAGUGAAGAUAUGAUACCCACAGUGGGCUUCAACAUGAGGAAGGUAACUAAAGGUAACGUCACAAUAAAGGUAAGUUAUUUCUUGCCGUACGCAAUUUAAAUUGUUAGCACAGACCCCUAGAAAUUUUUCUGUUAAAUUUCUGUGUUUUUACUGAAAAUUUGCAGUUUUUCAGUAAUGAAUGUGCAUGUUUCAAAAGAAUAGGUUUUUUUGUUGUUUUUUUUUUUGUUUUUUUUGGAAACAGAGUUUUGCUCUUUCACCCAGGCUGGAGUGCAGUGGCGCGAUCUCCACUCACUGCAACCUCUGCCUCCCGGUUCAAGUGAUUCUCCUGCCUCAGCCUCCAAAAUAGCUAAGAUGACAGGCUUGUGCCACCACACCCAGCUAAUUUUUUGUACUUUUAGUAGAGACAGGGUUUCACCAUGUUG